CCUACGGGAGGCAGCAGUGAGGAAUAUUGGUCAAUGGGCGCGAGCCUGAACCAGCCAAGUCGCGUGAAGGAUGACUGCCCUAUGGGUUGUAAACUUCUUUUAUAAGGGAAUAAAGUGAGGCACGUGUGCCUUUUUGUCUGUACUUUAUGAAUAAGCAUCGGCUAACUCCGUGCCAGCAGCCGCGGUAAUACGGAGGAUGCGAGCGUUAUCCGGAUUUAUUGGGUUUAAAGGGUGCGUAGGUGGGUUGUUAAAUCAGUGGUGAAAGUUUGCGGCUCAACCGUAAAAUUGCAAUUGAAACUGGCAGACUUGAGUACAGUUGAGGUAGGCGGAAUGCGUGGUGUAGCGGUGAAAUGCUUAGAUAUCACGUAGAACUCCGAUUGCGAAGGCAGCUUACUAAACUGCAACUGACGCUGAUGCACGAAAGCGUGGGGAUCGAACAGGAUUAGAUACCCGAGUAGUC
rnacentral:rRNA from 1 species